rnacentral:rRNA from 1 species
GACGAACGCCGGCGGCGUGCUUAACACAUGCAAGUCGAGCGGUAAGGCCCUUUCGGGGGUACGACGAGCGGCGAACGGGUGAGUAACACGUGGGUGACCUGCCCUCCAGCUCUGGGAUAAGCCUGGGAAACCGGGUCUAAUACUGGAUAUGACUCCAUGACGCAUGUUGUGGGGUGGAAAGCCUUGUGCGGCUGAGGAUGGGCCCGCGGCCUAUCAGCUUGUUGGUGGGGUGAUGGCCUACCAAGGCGACGACGGGUAGCCGGCCUGAGAGGGCGACCGGCCACACUGGGACUGAGACACGGCCCAGACUCCUACGGGAGGCAGCAGUGGGGAAUCUUGCGCAAUGGGCGAAAGCCGACGCAGCGACGCCGCGUGAGGGAUGACGGCCU